GACGAACGCUGGCGGCGUGCCUAAUACAUGCAAGUAGAACGCUGAAGGAGGAGCUUGCUUCUCCGGAUGAGUUGCGAACGGGUGAGUAACGCGUAGGUAACCUGCCUGGUAGCGGGGGAUAACUAUUGGAAACGAUAGCUAAUACCGCAUAACAGUAGAUGUUGCAUGACAUUUGCUUAAAAGGUGCAAUUGCAUCACUACCAGAUGGACCUGCGUUGUAUUAGCUAGUUGGUGGGGUAACGGCUCACCAAGGCGACGAUACAUAGCCGACCUGAGAGGGUGAUCGGCCACACUGGGACUGAGACACGGCCCAGACUCCUACGGGAGGCAGCAGUAGGGAAUCUUCGGCAAUGGACGGAAGUCUGACCGAGCAACGCCGCGUGAGUGAAGAAGGUUUUCGGAUCGUAAAGCUCUGUUGUAAGAGAAGAACGAGUGUGAGAGUGGAAAGUUCACACUGUGACGGUAUCUUACCAGAAAGGGACGGCUAACUACGUG
rnacentral:rRNA from 1 species